GAUGAACGCUGGCGGCGUGCCUAAUACAUGCAAGUCGAGCGAACAGAUGAGGAGCUUGCUCCUCUGACGUUAGCGGCGGACGGGUGAGUAAGACGUGGAUAACCUACCUAUAAGACUUGGAUAACUACGGAAAACCGGAGCUAAUACCGGAGAAUAUAAUGAACCGCAGGGUUCAAUAGUUAAAGAGGGUUUGCGUGUCACUUAGAGAUGGAGUCGCGCCGCAUUAGCUAGUUGGUAAGGUAACGGCCUACCAAGGCAACGAUGCGUAGCCGAGCUGAGAGGGUGAUCGGCCACACUGGAACUGAGACACGGUCCAGACUCCUACGGGAGGCAGCAGUAGGGAAUCUUGCGCAAUGGGCGCAAGCCUGAUGCAGCAACGCCGCGUGAGUGAUGAAGGUCUUCGGAUCGUAAAACUCUGUUAUUAGGGAAGAACAAAUGUGUAAGUAACUAUGCACGUCUUGACGGUACCUAAUCAGAAAGCCACGGCUAACUACGUG
rnacentral:rRNA from 1 species